rnacentral:rRNA from 1 species
CCCUGUUCUUUGCACACACCGCCCGUCGCUAUCUGAGAUGGAUGACUUUAUAAAGAUGCUGCUGUGAAGAGGCAUUUGUGUAAGGUCAACUAGAUUAGAUAUAAGUCGUAACAAGGCAGCGGUAGAAGAAUCUGCCGCUAGAUCAUACUAGAUAUUUUUUCUUUAUAUAAGAAUUAUUAUUAUAUACUGCUCCUGAAGGAUGUCUCGGGUUCGUUGCGCGGAAGGACGCARAGGUGUGCGAUAGCGAGGCUGAAUAUUCAGCAGCCUCAUUUCCGAAAGAUUACACCCUCAACUUAAGCAUAUCAAUAGGGGUUGGAGAAGAAAUAAACGUAGAUUCCC